CACGUAGGGUGCGAGCGUUGUCCGGAAUUAUUGGGCGUAAAGAGCGUGUAGGCGGCCAGGUAGGUCAGCUGUGAAAACUCGAGGCUCAACCUCGAGACGCCGGUUGAAACCAUCUGGCUAGAGUCCGGAAGAGGAGAGUGGAAUUCCUGGUGUGGUGGUGAAAUGCGUAGAUAUCGGGAGGAAUACCAGUGGCGAAGGCGGCUUCCUGGCCUGUUCUUGACGCUGAGGCGCGAAAGCUGGGGGAGCAAACGGGG
rnacentral:rRNA from 1 species